GACGAACGCUGGCGGCGUGCUUAACACAUGCAAGUCGAACGGAAAGGCCCUGCUUUUGUGGGGUGCUCGAGUGGCGAACGGGUGAGUAACACGUGAGUAACCUGCCCUUGACUUUGGGAUAACUUCAGGAAACUGGGGCUAAUACCGGAUAGGAGCUCCUGCUGCAUGGUGGGGGUUGGAAAGUUUCGGCGGGUGGGGAUGGACACGCGGCUUAUCAGCUUGUUGGUGGGGUAGUGGCUUACCAAGGCUUUGACGGGUAGCCGGCCUGAGAGGGUGACCGGCCACAUUGGGACUGAGAUACGGCCCAGACUCCUACGGGAGGCAGCAGUGGGGAAUAUUGCACAAUGGGCGGAAGCCUGAUGCAGCAACGCCGCGUGCGGGAUGACGGCCUUCGGGUUGUAAACCGCUUUCGCCUGUGACGAAGCGUGAGUGACGGUAAUGGGUAAAGAAGCACCGGCUAACUACGUG
rnacentral:rRNA from 1 species